GACAGAGGGUGCAAACGUUGUUCGGAUUUACUGGGCGUAAAGCGUGCGUAGGCGGCUUCGUAAGUUGGAUGUGAAAUCCCACGGCUCAACCGUGGACGUGCAUCCAAAACUACGUCGCUGGAGUCUCGGAGAGGAAGGUGGAAUGCUUGGUGUAGAGGUGAAAUUCGUAGAUAUCAAGCAGAACACCUGCGGCGAAGGCGGCCUUCUGGACGAUGACUGACGCUGAGACACGAAAGCGUGGGGAGCAAACAGG
rnacentral:rRNA from 1 species